rnacentral:tRNA from 1 species
GUGGGUGUAGCUCAGUGGUAGAGUGUGUGCUUAGCAUGCACAAGGUCCUGGGUUCAAUCCCCAGUACCUCCA